rnacentral:lncRNA from 1 species
GUAGAUUCCGUGUUCUUCCGUGUGUUGGCAGGAUUUACCUCUAAAUAUACAGGUCGUGGAGCAGGAGUCGAGUGCAAGUGAGAAAGCGGAAAUUCCUGUCUGAUUGCCGGCAACGACAGCCACAGCCACAGCGGCGGCCAGCAAGCGAGGAGCGGUGUCGCUUGGGGCUCGGGGCACGCCAUUGCCGUUGCUCUGGAGUCUGGAGUCGGGGGACCGUCCCGAUUAUCCCUCCGCCCCAAUUUCGGCCCUCACUUUCCUCUGAUACGGUUCACAAUUAUUUGAGCUCAUGAGCCCCGGCAGGACUCCGAUUUUAUGCUCCAGCCUUUCGUUCCCGUCCCAUGUCGCCGUCGUCGCACCGUCCUCUCUGUCGAAGCCGGUGACUAGACAAUGAUGGGUCCGACUACGGUCAUGUCGAACGGAAACGCGUCGGCCAUCAGCAAGAGCAAGCUCGAGAACGGAACCGGAAAUGGGCAUCACGUUUCCGCGUCCAGCGAGGAUGACGUCACCAUUAUUGGUGAUCCCGUCGAUAAAAUAAACACCAGCACCGACAGCCACUGUUCAAGUUUAUCUGACGGGGAAAACUACGAAUGCUAUGGUGAAGUCGACAUGGAUACAUCCCCCCAGAUCUUAAUGGAUCUGCAAACAAGAGUCCUUUCAGCUCAAAUUUAACAAGAAAUACAUGGCUACGCACUAGUUUAAGGAGAUCUUCACCGAGUCACAAUGACAACCUGCCUAAUCGAAAAUGGGGCUCGUUUCGUCAAUCGUAAGUAACCAAUUAUUAAUUUCAUUCAACCUUUGCACUGUUUGAAUUUUUGUGUUCCAAUGAUUGUCACGCCUCUUAAAAAAUUCUUCUCAUCAAAGAGCAUUUCAUUGAAAGAUAUUGCCUCAACCAAAUAUUUCCAUAAAUACCGGAAUUGAGAAUAUUAUGUGUCUAUUAAUGAUGGAAAACAUUUUUCCUCGCCACUGGCUGCAAAUAGCAAUCUUUUAAAGCAGAGGGCAACUACAUUCACGUGCUCUGAUUUAAAUUUGAUCAUUUCAGAGGAUUAUAUUUAACAUUGCCACAACCUUUCCUUUAGAAAACCCUGCUGCUAUUGAAUAAAACUGCAAAAAAGUAGAUAUUCAUGAUUGUUCUCCAGAAUUUUCAUUUAUUUCUAACACGCGGCCAUCCAUUUGAUGAAAUACAUGUUUCCUUGUCAGUAUUUAACAUCACUCGUGUGUUAAAUCUUUACACGAGGACUCUAACUCCAUGAAAUCUGCUCUGUCCUUUAUCAGUUUCUUUCAACAGUUAUACGAGAUUUUAAAACGCCUACAGAAUUGAAGGUAGGCAAUUUCAUACACACACACGUGAAAACCGACUCUGUACCGCGGGUUGCGUCUCGCGUCGUGCGAAGGAGCAUGUUAACCGUCUUGGUGUUCCUCUUGAGCAGAACGGAUAGAUGCGGCAUAGCAAGCGGUUUUAUCUCGUUUGCCCCGCACCAGAUCCCAAACGAUAGUGCGCUUUUUACUACCAAAUCAAUCUCUUUUGGAAAAACACGAAUCUUCGUAGAUUUCGGUCUUCGCUCCUAAGCUCAUGCCUCCGUUCUUGAAGCCAAAAGAUGUGAGUAUCGCCGUAACACAAAUGUUCCUGUAAAGUAUACUUCAUCACCUGCAAAAUAUCCAAAAAUCUCGGAAUACCGGGAGUGGGC